GUGGGAGGGGGCUUGCCCCCGAUGACGGUGUGUCAGCAAACACUAAUGUUGCUUGACACACCGCUAUCGGGGGCAAGCCCCCUCCCAC
rnacentral:misc_RNA from 1 species